GUGGGGAAUAACUUCGGGAAACCGAGGCUAAUACCGCAUAAUACCCACGGGUCAAAGGAGCAAUUCGCUUGAGGAGGAGGUCGCGGCCCGAUUAGUUAGUUGGCGGGGUAAUGGCCCCCACCAAGACGGUGAUCGGUAUCCGGCCUGAGAGGGCGCACGGACACACUGGAACUGAAACACGGUCCAGACUCCUACGGGAGGCAGCAGUGGGGAAUUUUGCGCAAUGGGGGAAACCCUGACGCAGCAACGCCGCGUGGAGGAUGAAGUCUCUUGGGACGUAAACUCCUUUCGAUCGGGACGAUUAUGACGGUACCGGAAGAAGAAGCCCCGGCUAACUUCGUG
rnacentral:rRNA from 1 species